rnacentral:rRNA from 1 species
UACGAAGGGGGUUAGCGUUGCUCGGAAUCACUGGGCGUAAAGGGUGCGUAGGCGGGUCUUUAAGUCAGGGGUGAAAUCCUGGAGCUCAACUCCAGAACUGCCUUUGAUACUGAAGAUCUUGAGUUCGGGAGAGGUGAGUGGAACUGCGAGUGUAGAGGUGAAAUUCGUAGAUAUUCGCAAGAACACCAGUGGCGAAGGCGGCUCACUGGCCCGAUACUGACGCUGAGGCGCGAAAGCGUGGGGAGCAAACAGG